CAAGAGGGUUCGGCCCUCGGCAGACGGCUCAGUAACACGUGGGAUAAUCUGCCCUUAGGUGGAGGAUAACCUCGGGAAACUGAGAAUAAUACUCCAUAGAUCUAGGAUGCUGGAAUGUACUUAGAUUGAAAGUUCCGACGCCUAAGAUGAGUCUGCGGACUAUCAGGUAGUAGUCAGGGUAAAGGCCUGACUAGCCUACGACGGAUACGGGUUGUGAGAGCAAUAACCCGGAGACGAUAUCUGAGACACGAUAUCGGGCCCUACGGGGCGCAGCAGGCGCGAAACCUUCACAAUGUGCGAAAGCACGGUGAGGGGAUCCCAAGUGCUUGCUCGUAAGAGUAAGCUGUUUUUAUGUCUAAAAAGCAUAGAGAGUAAGGGCUGGGUAAGACGGGUGCCAGCCGCCGCGGUAAUACCUGCAGCUCAAGUGGUGACCGCUAUUAUUGGGCCUAAAACGUUCGUAGCCGGUUUGGUAAAUGCCUGGGUAAAUCGUGUAGCUUAACUAUACGAAUUCCGGGUAGACUGCCAAACUUGAGACCGGGAGAAGCUAGAGGUACUCCUUGGGUAGAGGUGAAAUUCUGUAAUCCUGGGGGGACCACCAGUGGCGAAGGCGUCUAGCUAGAACGGGUUUGACGGUGAGGAACGAAGCCCUGGG
rnacentral:rRNA from 1 species